rnacentral:rRNA from 1 species
UAAAUAGCCCGGCUGGCUUUUGCAAGUCGCUGGCUUCUUAGAGGGACUCUCGGCUCAAGCCGAUGGAAGUUUGAGGCAAUAACAGGUCUGUGAUGCCCUUAGAUGUCCUGGGCUGCACGCGCGCUACACUGACAGAGCCAUCGAGUUCAUCACCUUGACCGGAAGG